UUGUUGUUUCUUUGGUGAAGUUGAGAAUUCUUAAGAUAAAAUUGUAAUUUUGAACAAGAAAUUUACUCAAAAAAGGAGAAAUCAUGAAAAAGGUUAAACGUAGCGGUGUCCGUGAUGCCAUGUAUAAAGUUUUAAUUCGGUGUUUCUCAUAAUUUCAAGCUGAAAAACGAGAAAAAUAUUUGGAAAACGUUUCAAAACGUACAGCAGAUUAUACCGGGGUUUCUGAAAGCACAGUACGCAGGAUAGUGGAGCAAUGGAGUAAAAAUGAAGGAGAAUAUCUACAAAAAAUAAAUAAAAAUAUGUAGUUUUCAAA